CUUGUAUAAACUGUUCCUAAGUGUAAUCUCGUAAAGCUUUUUCAUUUAUCCACCAAUUUUUAGCAUCACCUUCUAACAAGAAACUUGCAAUCCUAGCUUUCCCCUCAUCAUCACACUGUAUACCCUCAUCUAGAAUCUUUUCAAUCUCAGCUAACCAAGACAAAGCUACUAUAAAAUCAAUGGCACCACCAAAAUUCACCAUGUUAUACAAG
rnacentral:misc_RNA from 1 species